UGGAUAAGUCUUUACGGAGAAAGCUUUAUGCACCAUUGGAUGAGCCUGCACUUGAUUAGUUUGUUGGUGGGGUAAUGGCCUACCAAGACUGUGAUCAAUAGCUGAUUUGAGAGGAUGAUCAGCCACAUUGGGACUGAGACACGGCCCAAACUCCUACGGGAGGCAGCAGUGGGGAAUCUUGCACAAUGGAGGAAACUCUGAUGCAGCGAUGCCGCGUGAGUGAAGAAGGCCCUUGGGUUGUAAAGCUCUUUCGUCGGGGAAGAAAAUGACUGUACCCGAAUAAGAAGGUCCGGCUAACUUCGUGCCAGCAGCCGCGGUAAUACGAAGGGACCUAGCGUAGUUCGGAAUUACUGGGCUUAAAGAGUUCGUAGGUGGUUGAAAAAGUUGGUGGUGAAAUCCCAGAGCUUAACUCUGGAACUGCCAUCAAAACUUUUCAGCUAGAGUAUGAUAGAGGAAAGCAGAAUUUCUAGUGUAGAGGUGAAAUUCGUAGAUAUUAGAAAGAAUACCAAUUGCGAAGGCAGCUUUCUGGAUCAUUACUGACACUGAGGAACGAAAGCAUGGGUAGCGAAGAGGAUUAGAUACCCUCGUAGUCCAUGCCGUAAACGAUGUGUGUUAGACGUUGGAAAUUUAUUUUCAGUGUCGCAGCGAAAGCGAUAAACACACCGCCUGGGGAGUACGACCGCAAGGUUAAAACUCAAAUGAAUUGACGGGGACCCGCACAAGUAGUGGAGCAUGUGGUUUAAUUCGAAGAUACGCGCAGAACCUUACCAACACUUGACAUGUUCGUCGCGACUUUAAGAGAUUAAAGUUUUCGGUUCGGCCGGACGA
rnacentral:rRNA from 1 species